GGAAUUUUCGGAUGUUGCUGAGUGGCGGACGGGUGAGUAACGCAUGGAUACCUGCCUCACACUGGGGGAUAACAGUUAGAAAUGACUGCUAAUACCGCAUAAGACCGCAUGGUAAAAACUCCGGUGGUGUGAGAUGGAUCCGCGUCUGAUUAGCCAGUUGGCGGGGUAACGGCCCACCAAAGCGACGAUCAGUAGCCGACCUGAGAGGGUGACCGGCCACAUUGGGACUGAGACACGGCCCAAACUCCUACGGGAGGCAGCAGUGGGGAAUAUUGCACAAUGGGCGAAAGCCUGAUGCAGCGACGCCGCGUGAGGAAGAAGUAUUUCGGUAUGUAAACUCUAUCAGCAGGGAAGAAAAUGACGGUACCUGACUAAGAAGCCCCGGCUAACUACGUGCCAG
rnacentral:rRNA from 1 species